CUUUCUAAAGCUCUGAUCAGUCAAGAAGGGGGUUGUAUCAAUCCUCAGAACCCUGAGUGGAACUUUCUACAGGAUUUAUUAGGAGAAAAACCUUCCCGGAAGCUGCAGAAGGACAAAUACAGAAUCCGUGUCUGGGAGAAACCUCGUGGCCUGGUCUCCAUUAUUUGAGAUGAGUUACAUCUUGGAGGACCAUAGCUGUCUGCAGUGCAGGAAGCCAACUAUUAAGGGGAAACAAAAGUGUUCUUAGGAGUCCUGCUGUCACUGUGGAUUGAGCCGGUGAAGCCCUGAGGGAUUUCAUCGCUGAGGUGGAUGGAGAAGCAGCUGGGGGCCUUGGCUGUAAGGACCCCUAAGGGCCUGAUCUUUUGGCCAGAAGGAGAUUAAAAAGAUGCCCCUCAAGAUGGCUGUGCCUGUCAGCUGCAUGGAGCUUCGUUCAAGUAUUUUCUGAGCCUGAUGGAUUUACAGUGAUCUUCAGUGGUCUGGGGAAUAACGCUGGUGGAACCAUGCACUGGAAUGACACACGCCCGGCACAUUUCAGGAUACUAAAAGUGGUUUUAAGGGAGGCUGUGGCUGAAUGCCUCAUGGAUUCUUACAGCUUGGAUGUCCAUGGGGGACGAAGGACUGCAGCUGGCUGAGAGGGUUGAGAUCUCUGUUUACUUAGAUCUCUGCCAACUUCCUUUGGGUCUCCCUAUGGAAUGUAAGACCCCGACUCUUCCUGGUGAAGCAUCUGAUGCACGUUCCAUCCGGCGCUCAGCUGGGCUUGAGCUGACCAUACUCCCUGGAGCCUUCUCCCGAGGUGCGCGGGUGACCUUGGCACAUACAGCCAUCAUGAUGGUACUUUAAGUGGAGGCUGAAUCAUCUCCCCUUUGAGCUGCUUGGCACGUGGCUCCCUUGGUGUUCCCCUUUUACUGCCAGGACACUGAGAUUUGGAGAGAAUCCUGUUACACCUGGGAUUUAGGCACUUUCAAUCUGAAAAAAUACAUAUCCUUUCAGCACUCUGGACGGACUUGAGAACUGUCCUUACGUGACCUAAAGCUGGAGUAUUUUGAGAUUGGAGAAUUAAGGCCAACAGAGAUUUUGAGAAACACAUUGAAGGAUCUGUUAACACUUGAUAUACCCAAUAAAAGCAGUGGUUGUGCCAGUGCUGAUCUGUCUUGAUGUGAAUGUGAACAAUGGGAACCUGAGCUGAGCAGUUAAUGCUAGGGUGACAGAAACUGGACCUCUCCCAAGACAUGUGACAGAGUAAUACAGCAGCCAACUUCUUCGCCAAAUUAAAGUUUUACAAGAUUUAACCUGUCAUCAAGACCUGGGAUUUUGGUGAGCCAGUCUUGGUGCUCUGUGUUCACCUGGUUCAUCUGAGGAGCUGCAUCUACCCUGCCCAUGCCAUAGAUCCUGCCCUGUUUGCUUCUCCUGUUGCUGCUAGUGGACAUGAGGUAACCACAGCCUAGUUCUGUGAUAAGCUCUUCACACCUGUACCCAUAUGGACUGUGGGAGAGUUUCUCUGAUAUGGACUGUGAUGCGGAAGGACAGAAUAACGGGCUCCCAGAUUCACAAGCCCCACCAAGAGGAUCACCCCAGGAACGCUUGGAGGCUGAGGAGUUCACUGAGGCUACUGCAUCUUGAGACUCAGGAUGAAGACCCAGCUUGGGGCUGUCAAAGGUUUUUUGCAUGUCUGACACCCAUGACUCCACCUGGACCUUAUGGCUCCACCCAGAAGCAAUUCAGCCCAACAGGAGGACAGCUUCAACCCAUUACGAUUUCAUCUCUGCCCCAACCACUCAGCAGCAAGCACCUGUUACCUGUCCACCCCCACCCCUUCCCCCAAACUGCCUUUGAAAAAUCCCUAACCUAUGAGCUUUGAAUAAGAUGAGUACGAACUUCAUCGCCCACGUGGCGUGGCCGGCCUCGUGUCUAUUAAAUUCUUUUUCUACUACAA
rnacentral:lncRNA from 10 species